rnacentral:rRNA from 1 species
UACGUAGGUGGCUAGCGUUGUCCGGAUUUACUGGGCGUAAAGAGCGCGCAGGCGGUCGUUCAAGUCGAGUGUGAAAGCCCCCGGCUCAACUGGGGAGGGUCACUCGAUACUGAUCGACUCGAAGGCAGGAGAGGGAAGCGGAAUUCCCGGUGUAGUGGUGAAAUGCGUAGAUAUCUGGAGGAACACCGGUGGCGAAGGCGGCAUCCUGGACCGAGAUUGACGCUGAGGCGCGAAAGCCAGGGGAGCAAACGGG